rnacentral:rRNA from 1 species
GCGGANCUUUCGGGGUCAGCGGCGGACGGGUGAGUAACACGUGGGCAAUCUGCCCGAUACUCUGGGAUAACGCUUGGAAACGAGUGCUAAUACCGGAUGGUCUUCUUGGUCGCAUGGCCGAGAAGGAAAAGACGCGUUCGCGUCGGUGUCGGAUGAGCCCGCGGCGCAUUAGCUAGUUGGUGAGGUAACGGCCCACCAAGGCGACGAUGCGUAGCCGACCUGAGAGGGUGACCGGCCACACUGGGACUGAGACACGGCCCAGACUCCUACGGGAGGCAGCAGUAGGGAAUCUUCCACAAUGGGCGAAAGCCUGAUGGAGCAACGCCGCGUGAGUGAUGAAGGCCUUCGGGUUGUAAAACUCUGUCAUUCGGGACGAACCGGAGUCUGAGGAAAUGCAGACUCUCUGACGGUACCGGAGGAGGAAGCCCCGGCUAACUACGUGCCAGCAGCCGCGGUAAUACGUANGGGGCAAGCGUUGUCCGGAUUCACUGGGCGUAAAGCGCGCGCAGGCGGUGAUGUAAGUCUGAGGUGAAAACCCGAAGCUCAACUUCGGGACUGCCUUGGAUACUGCGUCACUUGAGGAUAGGAGAGGCAAGGGGAAUUCCACGUGUAGCGGUGAAAUGCGUAGAGAUGUGGAGGAACACNCKGUGGCGAAGGCGCCUUGCUGGCCUAUUUCUGACGCUGAGGCGCGAAAGCGUGGGGAGCAAACAGGAUUAGAUACCCUGGUAGUCCACGCUGUAAACGAUGAGUGCUAGGUGUAGGUGGGCUCAUACCCAUCUGUGCCGAAGCUAACGCAUUAAGCACUCCGCCUGGGGAGUACGGUCGCAAGACUGAAACUCAAAGGAAUUGACGGGGGCCCGCACAAGCAGUGGAGCAUGUGGUUUAAUUCGAAGCAACGCGAAGAACCUUACCAGGACUUGACAUCCCAUAGACCAGUCUAGAGAUAGACUUUCCCUUCGGGGCUGUGGUGACAGGUGGUGCAUGGUUGUCGUCAGCUCGUGUCGUGAGAUGUUGGGUUAAGUCCCGCAACGAGCGCAACCCUUACUUUGUGUUGCCAGCAUUCAGUUGGGCACUCACAAGGGACUGCCGCCGAUAAGGCGGAGGAAGGUGGGGAUGACGUCAAAUCAUCAUGCCCCUUAUGUCCUGGGCUACACACGUGCUACAAUGGGCGGUACAACGGGAUGCGAAGCCGCGAGGUGGAGCCAAACCCUGAAAACCGUUCGUAGUUCGGAUUGUAGGCUGCAACUCGCCUACAUGAAGCCGGAAUUGCUAGUAAUCGCGGAUCAUCAUGCCGCGGUGAAUCCGUUCCCGGGCCUUGUACACACCGCCCGUCACACCACGAGAAUGGGCAACACCCGAAGUCGGUGGGGUAACCUUUACGGGAGCUAGCCGCCGAAGGUGGGGCCUGUGAUUGGGGUGAAGUCGU